GCCGGUGUAGCUCAGUGGUAGAGCAGUCGCCUUGUAAGCGUCAGGUCGGAGGUUCGACUCCUCUCGCCGGCU
rnacentral:tRNA from 1 species